rnacentral:lncRNA from 7 species
UUUUGCAGGACCAGAGCUUGGAGUUAGCAGCCUUUUGCUGUACAAAUAAUAAAGUCCCCAGAAGAACAUUGACUGCUCUUAACUGAAGUUCCUAAACCUGAAUUUUCAGAGGAAUUGGAUUUUAUUCAGCUUAUACAACCCUCUGUGAUUUUUAAGGAGUUGACCUGUGUUUAUGAAGAAGCCUUAUGUGUUUUCCCAGACUUCAGGAUUUUUCUUCUGCGAGUUUAUGAGAGAGACACAAAGAAAAAGCAAUAUCCCUUUCUUGAGCUUUGCACCUCUUUCUCCAGCAUUGAAGAUGUUCAAAGCAGAGUGUGUUGCAAAAGUCUCUGCUGUCUCAAAUGAAAUAGGAAUGGUUAUUGAGUUCCCUUUUUUUUAAUAGGUACUGUUUUCCAAAACAGGUUUGUAAGGAUGCGUUUUCCAGAUCCUGUUCAAAUCAUCGUUACUUCCCCGUACUGUUGAAAAUUGCUGAAAGCUUGAGCUGUCCUUCUGGCAUCUUGGCAUGAAUAUGACUGAUUCUGUGAAGUAUUCACCGGUGUAACCAAAGGAAAUAUAGGCAGUUUUAGCAAUAUAAAGUCCAUGAAGAUGCUCACAACUUAAGGAUCACGGUGCUGGAAGUGCAUAGAUCCAGAACAGAAAAUUGUAAAACGAAAAAAAAAGACAAGGACUGCAGCCUUUUGGAAGACUCCAUCAUGGCUCACAGCUUCAGUUAUCAGUCCCAAUAAAAAAUUAAAAUGGUGGUUUAUGUCGUU